rnacentral:rRNA from 1 species
GCCCGAAUUAGAAAAAGAAGGUCCCGCCUGCCCGGUGACAUUAUUUUAACGGCCGCGGUACUCUAACCGUGCGAGGGUAGCGUAAUCACUUGUCUUUUAAAUGAACACCUGUAUGAAUGGCAAAAAGAGGGCUUAACUGUCUCCUUUUUCCAGUCAAUGAAAUUGAUCUCCCCGUGCAGAAGCGGGGAUAGUAACAUAAGACGAGAAGACCCUAUGGAGCUUUACACACUAAGACAGACCAAGUUAAAUACCCCACAAUAAAAGGCCGAACUCAUUGAUCCCCUGUCCUAAUGUCUUCGGUUGGGGCGACCAUGGGAGAACACAAAACCCCCGUGUGGAAUAGGAGGACAAUCCCAUAUUUCUCUUUCCCUUCCUCCCACAAGCAAGAGUUACAACUCUAGCUAACAUAACUUCUGACCUUAACACGAUCCAGGCUUACGCACGAUCAACGGACCAAGUUACCCUAGGGAUAACAGCGCAAUCCCCUUUUAGAGGCCAUAUCGACGAGGGGGUUUACGACCUCGAUGUUGGAUCACGACAUCCUAAUGGUGCAGCCGCUGUUAAGGGUUCGUUUGUUCAACGAUCAAAGUCCUACGUGAUCUGAAUUCGGAACCGGA